AUUGAACGCUGGCGGCAUGCCUUACACAUGCAAGUCGAACGGCAGCACGGGAGCAAUCCUGGUGGCGAGUGGCGAACGGGUGAGUAAUACAUCGGAACGUGCCCAAUCGUGGGGGAUAACGUAGCGAAAGUUACGCUAAUACUGCAUACGAUCUACGGAUGAAAGCGGGGGACCGCAAGGCCUCGCGCGAUUGGAGCGGCCGAUGGCAGAUUAGGUAGUUGGUGGGGUAAAGGCCUACCAAGCCUCCGAUCUGUAGCUGGUCUGAGAGGACGAUCAGCCACACUGGGGCUGAGACACGGCCCAGACUCCUACGGGAGGCAGCAGUGGGGAAUUUUGGACAAUGGGCGAAAGCCUGAUCCAGCAAUGCCGCGUGCAGGACGAAGGCCUUCGGGUUGUAAACUGCUUUUGUACGGAGCGAAACGGCUUUCACUAAUACUGGGGGCUAAUGACGGUACCGUAAGAAUAAGCACCGGCUAACUACGUGCCAGCCGCCGCGGUAA
rnacentral:rRNA from 1 species